GUUCCAUAUGCAGCACCGGGAUAGUGUCGUAAAGGGUCUGUGUAUCCGGAGGAGUAUAAGGGUAUCUGUCCCAAGAAUGACUCCUGUCCUCCAGGCAGAGUCACCGGGAACGUGGAGUUUACAAAAUAGGAACUCAUUGAUAUUUUAUACACACUGGGGAGGAAAAUAAUGUGACACCAACUCACCAUAACAGAACAUAAUGUAAAGCAGCAGUCGUGGAAGAUCACCGCGGACGAUGGAACUCACUUCAGAUAUAUGACUUUGUCAAGUAUGAUGUAACCUCAUCUAAAGUUCUCUGCGUUUGUGAUGGCAUUGAAUAUAUUGUGAGUAUGCCUGUGCCUGCGUUGUAUUUUCUGGAAACUUCUGCACGGCGUAAUUUAUUGCAGUCUAACAUAGCUAUUUACCUGUUUUUGUAUUGAAAAUGUUGUUUUUCUGUUUUGUUUUUCUAAAAUGAUUUGUUUAUGAGUUAUUAAAUGAUAAUUUAUUCUUAAAAUAUGUUUGUAAAAGAUCCGGUUUUUUAAUCCACUGGACAUCUCGGGUCAUAAAAUUCUAACUUUUCAAUAAUGCGGAUACCAAAAAAAUACAGUUGAUUCAAAUUUCAUAUAUUUUAAGCCUAUCCUGACUGAAAUCAAUUUUAAAAAAUGAAACAAUAUUGUCUCUAAAAUGUUUGUUUAAGUAAAUCUAUAGAAUAGGUCUGAGCACCAUGCUCUGUAUUUAGUGAAAUCUAAAGGCUUUGAAAUUACUUUGCUUUUUAUUAAUUAUAUUAAUAGUUAAUUUGUUAUAUUCAUACUGAAUUUAUAUUUAAUUUCCCAUCUACUUUUGUAUAUGGUAGAAUUCUAUUUGUUGGUGUGUUUUGUUAUGAAUACUAAAGAAGAAAUUAAGCAAAAGUUUAAAAUGUUUUCUUAUUAAAAUAAACUGAUGCGACCGUCGGGGUUAAAUAAAAAGUUAAAUAAAAGAUAACUCUACCUUGUCACCUAUUCCGAAAUUCCGCUUCCCAGCCAAUGAAUUUCUACAUCACAUAAGUUAAUUAGCUUUACAGUGUUCCUUGGGUCAAACAGCAACUUUCUUUGAGAUCAAAUAAUGCAGA